CCUACGGGGGCUGCAGUGGGGAAUAUUGCACAAUGGGCGCAAGCCUGAUGCAGCCAUGCCGCGUGUGUGAAGAAGGCCUUCGGGUUGUAAAGCACUUUCAGUCAUGAGGAAGGUAGUGUAGUUAAUAGCUGCAUUAUUUGACGUUAGCGACAGAAGAAGCACCGGCUAACUCCGUGCCAGCAGCCGCGGUAAUACGGAGGGUGCGAGCGUUAAUCGGAAUUACUGGGCGUAAAGCGCAUGCAGGUGGUUUGUUAAGUCAGAUGUGAAAGCCCGGGGCUCAACCUCGGAAUAGCAUUUGAAACUGGCAGACUAGAGUACUGUAGAGGGGGGUAGAAUUUCAGGUGUAGCGGUGAAAUGCGUAGAGAUCUGAAGGAAUACCGGUGGCGAAGGCGGCACCCUGGACAGAUACUGACACUCAGAUGCGAAAGCGUGGGGAGCAAACAGGAUUAGAUACCCUGUAGUC
rnacentral:rRNA from 1 species